GGGGGGUAAGAUGUACGCAGUCCAUACCUCUACCUCUGAUGAAGUACAUCUACUAAAGUCUAAACUGAACUAAAUUCUCUCACCAUGAUCAAGCCUAACUCGAAAUCAUAAGAUACAACACACUACCCCAUAAUACUAGUCCAAACCACAUGAUUCAAUCUUUUAUGUGUCUUUUAGAGCUCACCCCCUAAGCACAACAUGCCUUACCACUUCAAUGACUAAAGCAUAUUGCAUUUCUCCACUCAUAUCUCAACAUAACAUUUAAGCCUAUAUUCAUAACCACAC
rnacentral:lncRNA from 1 species